rnacentral:rRNA from 1 species
CCUACGGGAGGCUGCAGUGGGGGAUAUUGCACAAUGGGGGAAACCCUGAUGCAGCGACGCCGCGUGGGCGAAGAAGUAUUUCGGUAUGUAAAGCCCUAUCAGCAGGGAAGAAGAAAUGACGGUACCUGAGUAAGAAGCACCGGCUAAAUACGUGCCAGCAGCCGCGGUAAUACGUAGGGUGCAAGCGUUAUCCGGAUUUACUGGGGUUAAAGGGAGCGCAGGCGGCACGGCAAGCCUGAUGUGAAAGCCCGGGGCCCAACCGCGGGACUGCAGUGGGAACUACCGGGCUGGAGUGCCGGAGAGGUAGGCGGAAUGCCUAGUGUAGCGGUGAAAUGCGUAGAUAUUAGGAGGAACACCAGUGGCGAAGGCGGCCUACUGGACGGUGACUGACGCUGAGGCUCGAAAGCGUGGGGAGCAAACAGGAUUAGAUACCCCAGUAGUC